UUGAACGCUGGCGGCAUGCUUUACACAUGCAAGUCGAACGGUAACAGGUUAAGCUGACGAGUGGCGAACGGGUGAGUAAUGCAUCGGAACGUGCCCGAUCGUGGGGGAUAACGCAGCGAAAGCUGCGCUAAUACCGCAUACGAUCUGAGGAUGAAAGCGGGGGACCGUAAGGCCUCGCGCGAUCGGAGCGGCCGAUGUCAGAUUAGGUAGUUGGUGGGGUAAAGGCUCACCAAGCCGACGAUCUGUAGCUGGUCUGAGAGGACGACCAGCCACACUGGGACUGAGACACGGCCCAGACUCCUACGGGAGGCAGCAGUGGGGAAUUUUGGACAAUGGGCGCAAGCCUGAUCCAGCAAUGCCGCGUGCAGGAAGAAGGCCUUCGGGUUGUAAAGCUCUUUCAGUUGAGAAGAAAAGAUUGUGACUAAUAAUCAUAAUUCAUGACGGUAUCAACAGAAGAAGCACCGGCUAACUACGU
rnacentral:rRNA from 1 species